rnacentral:rRNA from 1 species
GACAGAGGGUGCAAACGUUGCUCGGAAUCACUGGGCGUAAAGGGCUCGUAGGCGGUUUGUCGCGUCGGGAGUGAAAUCCACUGGCUUAACUGGUGGCUUGCUUUCGAUACGGGCAGACUGGAGGUAUGCAGGGGAGAACGGAAUUCCCGGUGUAGAGGUGAAAUUCGUAGAUAUCGGGAGGAACACCGGUGGCGAAGGCGGCGAUCUGGGUCGAUACUGACGCGUGAGGU